rnacentral:lncRNA from 1 species
GUGCUCCUAUUCGAUGAUCAAAUUUUAACUGUUAUGGUUCGGAUAUUGAAGGAGAUGGCUAGGGUCUGUUAAUGAAAGAAUGAUGCAAUGAUUUUAUUGCUUCGAAGAACAAUACAGUACAAAGAGCAAGUUUUAUACACAAUCAAGAGAAUGAAAAUCACGCCAAAGAAAAGAUAGUCCAGAUGGGCUGAACUGAAACUGUUAAUAUCUGAUCUCGUCCAAAUCUCACCAAAUAAGAUUCAUCUGAACCUUAGCAGUUAAGAAUUGAUUUUGUCCAAUUGCUCCAGUUGUGGGUUUUGGUGGAUUUGGAAACAUCGAAGGAUUUCAACUAAGGAAAGGCGGUGAUAUGAGUCAAUGGUCUACUCAAUUUGACUAGUGUCAGUAUGUGAAAGACCUCAGUUUCGGGAAAGAGGACAUAGCCACUUCAAGCAUUUCCACCGUUCCAUGAUAGUAAACAUUAUACAUGAUAAUAAACAUGUACAAGAAGAACCAUUGAUUCACACAGGUGGUCAUUGUACGGUUGUACUUCAAGUCAAUUAUGCACAAUUUUGCAUGGCAGAUUAUGACUAAAUGCCUCCAAGUCAAUUGCUAGCGGCACGUCUGUCCACCACCAACCCCCAUUAGCUUGCACUGGUCCGAGCUGUCAACUGAGCAUUUGUUGAUGGACAAACUACCUCAUCUGCACAUUGAAGCUUGAUUUGUAUGGAGAUUUUGAGACGAAAAAAACAAGCUGCACUUCUGUCAGAAUUUAGUCAACUGGUAUGCAAAGCUUAGUUUAGUUGAUCAAUCUACUAUGAACAACCUGAAAAAUAUGAUUUUAUAAUACUUGAAGUUCAGAUUUUACAUGCAAAUAAGUAAUGUUACAGGAGGUGUGUUUGUAUUUUAUCUUUUUCAUGUUUAUCUGAAGGGUUGUAGAUGGAAGUGAAGGUAGAGGAAUGUUGCUUGCUGGAACAUUUGCGAGGACAAAGAAAAUUCUACCAUCAAGUUGCUGUACAGCAAAUUGUCUUAGGGUAACAUUAUAAUUCAGUAGCUAAUCAAUAUACAUUACCUGCUUAUAUCUACUCGUCACAAAACCAGACUUACUUUUAAAUUUAC